GGGCGUGUGGCUCAGUUGGUAGAGCGUUCGCUUAGCAUGGUUGCGAUGUCAAAGUCAAGAUCCUCUUCUGCGAAAGGUCCUGGGUUCGAUUCCCAGCUCGUCCA